AUCUGUCAGUGCCUUUUUCCACCCCUCGCUCGCUCCUCGCUCCGCGCCUCCGCAGCUCGCGAUCGGAUUCGCUCCCUCCUCGCCGCGCCCCACCACCCCGUCGGCGCUGGGGAUCUCUAGGGUUUAGCCCAGUCACUCGGCUCGACCCGGCGCCGUCCUCGCCGUCGCCACCAUGCCGCUCAGGUUGGAGAUCAAGCGGAAGUUCGCGCAACGGUCCGAGAGGGUCAAGUCGGUGGAUCUUCACCCCACGGAGCCAUGGAUUCUGUCGAGCCUCUACUCGGGGAGUGUCUGCAUCUGGGAUUAUCAGGCACAGGCUAUGGUGAAAUCAUUUGAAGUUUCGGAACUGCCAGUGCGGUCGGCCAAAUUUGUUUCAAGGAAACAAUGGGUUGUAGCUGGUGCAGAUGACAUGUUCAUUCGUGUCUACAACUACAAUACCAUGGACAAAGUUAAAGUUUUUGAGGCUCAUACUGAUUACAUCAGAUGUGUUGCUGUCCAUCCAACUCUACCAUAUGUUCUGUCAUCAUCUGAUGACAUGUUGAUAAAACUGUGGGACUGGGAUAAAGGGUGGAUGUGCACUCAAAUCUUCGAGGGACAUUCACAUUAUGUGAUGCAGGUUACUUUCAAUCCAAAGGAUACCAACACCUUUGCAAGCGCAUCUCUUGACCGCACUACAAAGAUAUGGAGUUUGGGUUCUCCAGAUCCAAACUUUACACUUGAUGGACAUCAAAAGGGUGUUAAUUGUGUUGACUACUUCACUGGUGGCGACAGGCCCUAUUUAAUCACUGGUUCUGAUGACUCCACUGCAAAAGUGUGGGACUACCAAACAAAGAGCUGUGUUCAGACACUUGAAGGGCAUACACAUAACAUCUCUGCUGUCUGUUUCCAUCCUGAACUUCCUAUAAUCAUUACUGGAUCUGAAGAUGGCACAGUUCGUAUAUGGCAUUCGACGACUUAUAGACUUGAGAACACACUAAACUAUGGCCUUGAGAGAGUUUGGGCUGUUGGAUACAUGAAGGGAUCAAGAAGGAUGGUGAUUGGAUAUGAUGAGGGAACUAUUAUGAUAAAAAUGGGCCGUGAAGUACCUGUAGCGAGUAUGGAUACCAGUGGGAAAAUCAUUUGGGCGAAACAUAAUGAAAUACAAACUGUAAAUAUUAAGACUGUUGGUGCAGGCUUUGAGAUCACAGAUGGAGAAAGAUUACCCCUGGCUGUAAAGGAGUUAGGAAGCUGUGAUCUAUACCCGCAGAGCUUGAAGCAUAACCCUAAUGGCCGAUUCGUUGUCGUAUGUGGAGAUGGCGAAUACAUAAUUUAUACUGCAUUGGCUUGGAGGAAUAGAUCAUUUGGAUCUGCAUUGGAAUUUGUUUGGUCAUCAGAUGGAGAAUACGCAAUCAGGGAAAGCACAUCAAGAAUAAAAAUUUUCAAUAAAUCAUUUCAGGAGAAGAAAACUAUCCGCCCUUCAUUUUCAGCGGAGCGUAUUUUUGGUGGGGUAUUGUUGGCAAUGUGUUCUAGUGACUUCAUUUGCUUUUAUGACUGGGCUGAUUGCAGACUAAUACGUCGAAUUGAUGUCACUGUUAAGAACCUUUACUGGGCUGAUAGCGGUGACCUAGUUGCAAUAGCAAGUGAUACGUCAUUCUACAUCCUCAAGUACAAUAGAGAUGUUGUUGCUUCUUAUCUAGAAGGUGGAAAGCCUGUGGAUGAAGAAGGCGUCGAAGAUGCUUUUGAGCUGCUUCAUGAGGUCAAUGAGAGAGUGCGAACUGGGAUUUGGGUUGGAGACUGCUUCAUAUAUAACAAUUCAUCUUGGCGCCUAAAUUAUUGUGUUGGUGGAGAGGUCACCACAAUGUAUCACUUGGAUCGCCCGAUGUAUCUGUUGGGAUAUCUUGCGAACCAAAGUCGAGUUUAUCUAAUUGACAAGGAGUUUAAUGUCAUUGGGUACACAUUACUUCUCAGUUUGAUUGAGUACAAGACCCUUGUGAUGCGCGGGGAUUUGGAACGUGCAAAUGAAAUUUUACCAUCCAUACCAAAGGCACAAUAUAAUAGUGUCGCUCAUUUCUUGGAGUCUAGAGGUAUGUUGGAAGAGGCUCUUGAGAUAGCCACUGAUGCUGACUACAAGUUUGAUCUAGCUGUGCAGCUUGGAAAAUUAGAUGUUGCAAAGGCUAUCGCCACAGAAGCACAAAGUGAAUCUAAAUGGAAGCAGUUGGGCGAACUCGCCAUGUCUACAGGCAAGCUAGAGAUGGCGGAAGAAUGCCUUCUUCAAGCGAAGGAUUUAAGUGGCUUGUUGUUAUUAUACUCAUCUCUCGGAGAUGCUGAAGGAAUCGAAAAGCUUGCUUCUUUAUCAAAAGAACAUGGAAAAAACAAUGUUGCUUUCCUCUGCCUUUUUAUGCUUGGUAAAUUGGAAGAUUGCAUACAGUUGCUCAUAGACAGCAAUCGUAUACCUGAAGCUGCAUUAAUGGCGCGUUCAUAUCUUCCUAGCAAAGUCUCAGAGAUAGUAGCAAUUUGGAGAAAUGACCUCUGUAAAGUUAAUCCUAAAGCUGCAGAGUCUCUGGCAGAUCCUUCUGAGUAUCCAAAUUUAUUUGACGAUUGGCAGGUUGCGCUAACUGUAGAAAAAAAUGUUGCAUCUCAAAGGGGCCACUAUCCUCCUGCUGACGAGUACUUGAACCAUGCUGAGAAGUCAGAUACUACUCUUGUGGAGGCUUUCAAAAGGAUGCAGAUAAUUGAGGAUGAUGAAUCUGUAGACCCAGCUGAGGAAAACGGAGAGCCUGAUCAAGAGGCAUUGGAAGAGAAUGAAAUGGAGAACACAGAUGAAGCUGUCCCAGUUGAUGCUGAUGAACAUGAAGAGACAUCUCUUGUAAAUGGAAAUGAGGAUGAGGACCAGCCGAGUACGAAUAAUGAAGGAGCUGCGUCAGCCUAAAAGAAUAGUUUCGCAAAUGUGAAAACCCAAGUUUUGUCUAUGGUGAUUCACUAGCUUUGCCUCCGAGUUCUAGAACAGUUAAACCCAGUGUAGCCCAAAUUUCAGAUAACAAACCCAAUUAUCUCAUGAACAUGAACAGGGGCAGAGGGACGCACAGCUCAUUGGGUGCACAUAUUCUUUCUGAGGGUGCCAGCCAAUUCAGAAGCACUGGAAACUGUUGAUGCUAGUGCCAUCUGAGCUACCUUUUGCUUGUGGACCAAACUUGACAAAUGGAAGCAUGCUAGAUACCUGAUGUCAAUCUGGCCAUCCUGGCAACGCUUCUCAUGGCAACAGCAUAGGCAAUUCUUCUUGCAACAUUAACACACCCAAUUUCCAUGCCCUGAAAUCAUUAGAUCGGGUGGGGGAACCAGUUGUAAUGAAUAGCGGUUUGAAUAAUUCUUAUAGAGAUAUGUAGUAUAUGCCAGGUUACCAUAGCCAUGCCUUCUUCUAGGAGAUCACAGUUUUUGCUAGCCAUUCAAUGUAAUUUGAUGUUAUUCGAUAAGGUUACAUGUAGUAUAUGAUCGCGGGCUGAAAGCUUGCCCAUGUAUGAUUCCAUUGGGGGUUUAGCCUCGGAUUCUGUUUUGCUUGUUUACCAGUGCAGGUUCUUGCAAGGUUUCGAAGGUAAUAAUGUUCUGUUUUA